GAGAGGGAGCGCGCUCACUCGGUUAAAGAAAUUGGAAAUGUCAAUGUUGACAACCUGAGAUUGUAAAUCAUGAUCUUGGCAGCUUUUGUGGCAAAUCAGUAGCAGCUGAGGCUGCCUCCGGAAAAAUGCCACUGCUACCUGCCGCUGCCACUUUAUGACAUUAUGAGCCAGCCCUAACUGACCGGGGGGGGCCAGCGGAGCCGUCUGCCUUCCGAGCUGGAUUGAGGUGAAGAGGCUGGCAACACAAACGCACUGAGGCCAGAGAAACAUGGGCCACCAGUGUAAAGCUUCAGGGAGAGCUGAGGGAGAAAGAAACAUCAGAAGCCUUCACCCAUGUCAGGACUAUUUUUGUCCGUGGGCUACAGACUGUGAACAUCUAGAGCUUGGUAGAGGAAGUUGUCGUCCACGUGCAUGAGAGCUACCCCAAACCCAAGAGAGGAGCAGCAGAAAAAGGUGUGUUUCGAGUACAACCUAUUCCAUAACCCAGAGGGUGACACCUGUGCUAUGAGAUGCUCACUGUAACGAAGGUGAUCCCAGUAGCCGUCUGGUCUUAGUCUCCGUUACGUUUGUGUAGCUCACAACCAUAUACUUGUUGUUCAUAUUAUGCACAGACGCAUGUAUUAAUUUGUUUAAGGAAGACACUUACCUGUUUUCUCCUGUCUCCAACUCCCAAGGUCCGCGGCUAAAAGAGUCCCUGUGGAAACAACACGUUUCUAUUGUUCUGGGAGGGUUCCACAGCGCCGGAUGAAGUGGGGGGUUGGUAAAUGUAUGCAUAGUAAAUUUUGUAGCAACAUAGUUCUUUUUACAUAAUAAUUAUCGUUUAUAUUAGUGAAUUUAUAUAUAUACAUAUAUAUAUAU
rnacentral:lncRNA from 1 species